AUGCGCCGCUCCGCAGGACCUGGGGGGAACUUACACGCCUCAGAGUCACGUUACACGCCUCAGAGUCACGUUACACGCCUCAGAGUCAAGUUACACGCCUCAGAGUCACGGUUACACGCCUCAGAGUCACGGUUACACGCCUCAGAGUCACGGUUACACGCCUCAGAGUCACGGUUACACGCCUCAGAGUCACGUUACACGCCUCAGAGUCACGGUUACACGCCUCAGAGUCACGUUACACGCCUCAGAGUCACGGUUACACGCCUCAGAGUCACGUUACACGCCUCAGAGUCACGUUACACGCCUCAGAGUCAGUUACACGCCUCAGAGUCACGUUCCACGCCUCAGAGUCACGUUACACGCCUCAGAGUCACGUUACACGCUCAGAGUCACGGUACACGCCUCAGAGUCACGGUUACACGCCUCAGAGUCAGGUUACACGCCUCAGAGUCACGUUACACGCCUCAGAGUCACGGUUACACGCCUCAGAGUCACGGUUACACGCCUCAGAGUACGUUACACGCCCUAGAGUCACGGUUACACGCCUCAGAGUCACGUUACACGCCUCAGAGUCACGGUUACACGCCUCAGAGUCACGUUACACGCCUCAGAGUCACAGUUACACGCCUCAGAGUCACGUUACACGCCUCAGAGUCACGUUACACGCCUCAGAGUCACGUUACACGCCUCAGAGUCACAGUUACACGCCUCAGAGUCACGGUUACACGCCUCAGAGUCACAGUUACACGCCUCAGAGUCACGUUACAGGCCUCAGAGUCACGUUACAGGCCUCAGAGUCACGUUACAGGCCUCAGAGUCACGGUUACACGCCUCAGAGUCACGUUACACGCCUCAGAGUCACGUUACACGCCUCAGAGUCACGGUUACACGCCUCAGAGUCACGUUACACGCCUCAGAGUCACGUUACACGCCUCAGAGUCACAGUUACAGGCCUCAGAGUCACAGUUACAGGCCUCAGAGUCACGUUACACGCCUCAGAGUCACGUUACAGGCCUCAGAGUCACGGUUACACGCCUCAGAGUCACGUUACAGGCCUCAGAGUCACGUUACAGGCCUCAGAGUCACGUUACAGGCCUCAGAGUCACGUUACAGGCCUCAGAGUCACGGUUACACGCCUCAGAGUCACGUUACACGCCUCAGAGUCACGUUACACGCCUCAGAGUCACGGUUACACGCCUCAGAGUCACGUUACACGCCUCAGAGUCACGUUACACGCCUCAGAGUCACAGUUACAGGCCUCAGAGUCACAGUUACAGGCCUCAGAGUCACGUUACAGGCCUCAGAGUCACGUUACACGCCUCAGAGUCACGGUUACACACCUCAGAGUCACGUUACACGCCUCAGUCACGUUACACGCCUCAGAGUCACGUUACACGCCUCAGAGUCACGUUACACGCCUCAGAGUCACGGUUACACGCCUCGGAGUCACGGUUACAGGCCUCAGUCACUUUACACGCCUCAAAUGUGUUAGCAGGAAGUAGCGUUACUAUAGUUGCUGCACCAUUGAUCACAAAGCAGUGCUGGUGGCUGAGAUUGUGCUGGUACUGGUGCUGGUACUGGUACUGGUGCUGGUACUGGUACUGGAAUGGAUGGCUGCCAUCCACUCAGUAUUCCUAA
ensembl:lncRNA